GUAGAGAUAUUUAAAACUCUGCUCAGAAAAUUCAGUUGAAGUCAAGUUUGCGGUUGAUUCUUGCAUUCUUUUGUCGAUGGGUUGAUUCUCGCAUCUCUCUUCCAGCUUGACGGUUCUUUCGUGUAUUUUCGAGCUGUUUCAUGAGCCUACUCUCAUGGAUUCACAAGACGAAAACCAAAGCUUCAUUACGCUCUUACAAUCAG